GGAUAUGAGGGAUUAUCUGGCUGCAACAUCUGCCACUCCAUUGAGCACCAGAGUUGGUUUGGCUGGCUUAGGGUGUGUCCCUUCCCGUCUUACCUUUCCAGAUAUCCCUGCUGACGCUAUGAAGUGGAAGAGGACAGCCUUCCCUGAUAGAAGAGGACUGUUCUUGGAUCGAAGAUGUAUGAGUAGCUGUGCUCCCUGCUAAAACCUCCAAACAAGUUCUCAAUGUAUCAAUCUAUUGCUUCUAACCCAUAGAGUUUCCAAUGAAAAUCUGUUGAUGAUAUCAUCUGUACCUGACGUGUAGGUAACAGCACAUU
rnacentral:snRNA from 1 species